UGGUGGGUAGUUUGACUGGGGCGGUCUCCUCCCAAAGCGUAACGGAGGAGCACGAAGGUUAGCUAAUCCUGGUCGGACAUCAGGAGGUUAGUGCAAUGGCAUAAGCUAGCUUGACUGCGAGCGUGACGGCGCGAGCAGGUGCGAAAGCAGGUCAUAGUGAUCCGGUGGUUCUGAAUGGAAGGGCCAUCGCUCAACGGAUAAAAGGUACUCCGGGGAUAACAGGCUGAUACCGCCCAAGAGUUCAUAUCGACGGCGGUGUUUGGCACCUCGAUGUCGGCUCAUCACAUCCUGGGGCUGAAGUAGGUCCCAAGGGUAUGGCUGUUCGCCAUUUAAAGUGGUACGCGAGCUGGGUUUAGAACGUCGUGAGACAGUUCGGUCCCUAUCUGCCGUGGGCGCUGGAGAAUUGAGGGGGGCUGCUCCUAGUACGAGAGGACCGGAGUGGACGCAUCACUGGUGUUCGGGUUGUCAUGCCAAUGGCACUGCCCGGUAGCUAAAUGCGGAAGAGAUAAGUGCUGAAAGCAUCUAAGCACGAAACUUGCCCCGAGAUGAGUUCUCCCUGAGACUAUAAGUCUCCUGAAGGAACGUUGAAGACGACGACGUUGAUAGGCCGGGUGUGUAAGCGCAGCGAUGCGUUGAGCUAACCGGUACUAAUGAACCGUGAGGCUUAACCUU
rnacentral:rRNA from 1 species